UAAAGUAUUUUAAUAGAAAAAAUUUAAAAAUUUAUAGUGAAUUAGUAUUGUGAAAGAAUUUUGAAAUAAAUUAAAUAUUAAUUUAUUUAAAAGUAAUUUUUAUUUAAUGUAUCUUGUGUAUCAGAGUUUAUUAAAAAAUAUUUUUUGUUAAUAAAAAUUCUCGAAUUUAAAAGAGAUAAUUAAUUAUAAAAGUUAUUGUGGCAUAAAUAUUUUUAAUAAUUAAUUGGAAAUGAUAUGUUAAUCGUUUUUAAAUAUAUCUAGUUUUUUUAGAAAAAAAUUUAAUUUUAAAUUUAUUAUAAAUUUAUUUAUUAAUUAAUUAAUAAAUAAAAAUUUUAAAUUUUAUAAUUUAAGGGAUAAUCUUUAAAUUAAAUAAAUAUAAUUGGGGUAAAUAUUUUGAAAAUUGUAUAAUUUAUAUUGUUAAUAAAAUUUAGUUUGUUAUAAAUAAUUUCAUUUAAAAUAAAAUUUAAUAAAAAAUUUAUUUUUAUAUAAAAAAAUAAUUUUUAAUUAAAUUAAAAUUAGUUAUAAUGAUAAAAUUAGUAUAUAAAAAUUAUUUAAUAAAUUUGAUUUAUUAAUUAAAUUAAUUAAAAGGAAUUCGGCAAAAAUUUAUAUUCACUUGUUUAUCAAAAACAUGUCUUUUUGUAAAUAAUAUAAAGUCUAAUCUGCCCACUGAUUUUAAAUAUUGAAGGGCUGCAGUAUAUUGACUGUACAAAGGUAGCAUAAUCAUUAGUCAUUUAAUUGAUGACUUGUAUGAAGGAUUGGAUGAGAUAUAAACUGUCUCUUAAUUAAUUUAUAGAAUUUAAUUUUUUAAUUAAAAAGUUAAAAUAUAUUAAAAAGACGAGAAGACCCUAUAGAGUUUUAUAUUUCAUUUGAUUAUAAUUAUUUAUAAAUUAAUAAAUUUAAAUAAGAUUAAAUAUUUUGUUGGGGUGAUAGAAAAAUAAAUUUAACUUUUUUUAAUUGUAAACAUAAAUAAGUGAAAAAUUGAUCCAAUUAUAUUGAUUAUAAGAAAAAAUUACCUUAGGGAUAACAGCGUAAUUUUUUUUUUUAGUUCAAAUAAAAAAAAGAGUUUGCGACCUCGAUGUUGGAUUAAGAUAAAAUUUAAAUGCAGAAGUUUAAAAUUUUGAUCUGUUCGAUCAUUAAAAUCUUACAUGAUCUGAGUUCAAACCGGUGUGAGCCAGGUUGGUUUCUAUCUUUUAAAAAAAAAAAUAUUUUAGUACGAAAGGAUUAAGUAUUUAAAUUAAAUUUUAAUUUAUGAAUUUUAUUAAUU
rnacentral:rRNA from 1 species